CAGUCGCCGCGGUAAUACAGAGGGUGCGAGCGUUAAUCGGAUUUACUGGGCGUAAAGCGUGCGUAGGCGGCUAAUUGAGUCGGAUGUGAAAUCCCCGAGCUUAACUUGGGAAUUGCAUUCGAUACUGGUUAGCUAGAGUGUGGGAGAGGAUGGUAGAAUUCCAGGUGUAGCGGUGAAAUGCGUAGAGAUCUGGAGGAAUACCGAUGGCGAAGGCAGCCAUCUGGCCUAACACUGACGCUGAGGUACGAAAGCAUGGGGAGCAAACAGGAUUAGAUACCCGCGUAGUCCCUGUCUCUUAUAC
rnacentral:rRNA from 1 species